UACGGGGGGAGCAAGCGUUGUUCGGAUUUACUGGGCGUAAAGGGCGCGUAGGCGGUCAGCACAAGUCAGUUGUGAAAUCUCCGGGCUUAACCCGGAAAGGUCAACUGAUACUGUGCGACUAGAGUGCGGAAGGGGCAACUGGAAUUCUCGGUGUAGCGGUGAAAUGCGUAGAUAUCGAGAGGAACACCUGCGGCGAAGGCGGGUUGCUGGGCCGACACUGACGCUGAUGCGCGAAAGCCAGGGGAGAGAACGGG
rnacentral:rRNA from 1 species